rnacentral:lncRNA from 1 species
GUGAAAGGAUGGAAAUGGCCCAGGCCAGAACAUAACUAGGAGGAGACAUUGCUCCUACUUACGUUUCAUUCAGUCCAGGGAGAGGCUGGUAGAAUGAUCUAGAGGAAAAAUUGUUGAGAGAGACUGAGAGAAUAUAUAUGUGUUCCUUAGGUAUGGGAGAAGGGCAAAAACCUGGAGGGAAUAGAGGAGUGAAUUAGAGCAAAGGUGAGACCUUUUUACUCAUCCCCCUAAUUCGGGAAAACACGGGUACUGGAAUGAACAGUACACAUUCAGUAUUUCCUCCCUUUUUUCUCCAAGGAGUAAUUGCAGUCAAAGAGGAAAAGGGAAAAACAACUUUCAACAUGGAAAAUUCCCACCAGGAAAAUGAAGAAAGCAUUCAUAAUGUAGAGGAAGAGCUACAUUUGGAAGAAAUUGAAGGCCAGGAAGCUAGAGGAAAUAAUCACCAGGAACAAGCACCACCUACCCAGGAAGAUGGAGACGGGAAGAAAAAAGGUAUAUUUGUGAGCCAAUCAGCAAACAGCUUCUCUCAAGCCUCCGAGAGAUUUCUGAAGACACACCAAGUAAACAUUACAGAUGCUACUAAAGCAGAAUGAGAGUGGGCACCUGCCUACUAUCCUGGCACGUAACUUUCUGAGGAGGUGGGUUUUCUCUCUCU